rnacentral:rRNA from 1 species
GACGAACGCUGGCGGCGUGCUUAACACAUGCAAGUCGAACGAUGAAGAAGAGAAACGCGAACUUCGGUUCAAAUUUCACUUCGGAUUAGUGGCAGACGGGUGAGUAACGCGUGAGCAACCUACCUCUUACAAAGGGAUAGCCUCGGGAAACCGUGAUUAAUACCAUAUGACACAUUCAUAAGGCAUCUUAAGAAUGUUAAAGCUACGGCGGUAAGAGAUGGGCUCGCGUCCCAUUAGCUAGUUGGUGAGGUAACGGCCCACCAAGGCGACGAUGGGUAACCGGCCUGAGAGGGUGAACGGUCACAUUGGAACUGAGACACGGUCCAAACUCCUACGGGAGGCAGCAGUGGGGAAUAUUGCACAAUGGAGGGAACUCUGAUGCAGCGACGCCGCGUGGGCGAUGAAGGAAUUCGUGUCGUAAAGCUCUGUUCUAUGGGAAGAAAAGGACUGUACCAUAGGAGAAAGCCCCGGCUAAAUACGUG